AUUGAACGCUGGCGGCAGGCCUAACACAUGCAAGUCGAGCGGAUGAAGGGAGCUUGCUCCUGGAUUCCGCGGCGGACGGGUGAGUAAUGCCUAGGAAUCUGCCUGGUAGUGGGGGAUAACGUCCGGAAACGGGCGCUAAUACCGCAUACGUCCUGAGGGAGAAAGUGGGGGAUCUUCGGACCUCACGCUAUCAGAUGAGCCUAGGUCGGAUUAGCUAGUUGGUGGGGUAAAGGCCUACCAAGGCGACGAUCCGUAACUGGUCUGAGAGGAUGAUCAGUCACACUGGAACUGAGACACGGUCCAGACUCCUACGGGAGGCAGCAGUGGGGAAUAUUGGACAAUGGGCGAAAGCCUGAUCCAGCCAUGCCGCGUGUGUGAAGAAGGUCUUCGGAUUGUAAAGCACUUUAAGUUGGGAGGAAGGGCAGUAAGUUAAUACCUUGCUGUUUUGACGGUACCAACAGAAUAAGCACCGGCUAACUUCGUG
rnacentral:rRNA from 1 species